GGCGCAGCCUUGGAUCCAGCCAUACCGCGUGGGUGAAGAAGGCCUUCGGGUUUGUAAAGCCCUUUUGUUGGGAAAGAAAUCCAGCCGGCUAAUACCUGGUUGGGAUGACGGUACCCAAAGAAUAAGCACCGGCUAACUUCGUGCCAGCAGCCGCGGUAAUACG
rnacentral:rRNA from 1 species